rnacentral:lncRNA from 1 species
GAACCCUUCCGAAGCAUGAAUUAUCCCGGCCACACGGCUCGCACUCAUCGCCCUUCUCGGCAACCAGUCCUGCAGUUUUCAAGGUUUAAAAAUGCAUGCCACCAAAAAUUUUGACUUCAUCUUCCACACAAUCAUUUCAUUUCUGGACUUCUUUUUCUUUUUUAAACCUUGUAAUUUACUACUAACCUCACAAGAGUGCAGGUUCUCCACAGAUGCAGGAGCCACCAUAGCCGGUGUAGUGUGGUAAUAGCAGUCUUUCCGGACUUUCUUGGGUGGGAAUAUCGAAAAUGGAAUGAAUAUUGUUCCUUUUGGUGCCUUAAACUGUUCUUUAUCGGUCAGUCCA